AGAGUUUGAUCCUGGCUCAGGAUGAACGCUAGCGGCAGGCUUAACACAUGCAAGUCGAGGGGUAACGGGAGUGCUUGCACUCGCCGACGACCGGCGCACGGGUGCGUAACGCGUAUACAAUCUACCCUUUACUGGGGAAUAGCCCAGAGAAAUUUGGAUUAAUGCCCCAUAGUACAUAUAUAUGGCAUCAUAUUUAUGUUAAAGGCUACGGUAAAGGAUGAGUAUGCGUACCAUUAGUUAGUUGGUAAGGUAACGGCUUACCAAGACUGCGAUGGUUAGGGGCCCUGAGAGGGGGAUCCCCCACACUGGUACUGAGACACGGACCAGACUCCUACGGGAGGCAGCAGUGAGGAAUAUUGGACAAUGGGCGAGAGCCUGAUCCAGCCAUGCCGCGUGUAGGAAGACUGCCCUAUGGGUUGUAAACUACUUUUACAUGGGAAGAAUAAGGGUCACGUGUGGCCUUAUGACGGUACCAUGAGAAUAAGGACCGGCUAACUCCGUGCCAGCAGCCGCGGUAAUACGGAGGGUCCGAGCGUUAUCCGGAAUUAUUGGGUUUAAAGGGUCCGUAGGCGGGCCGUUAAGUCAGGGGUGAAAGUUUGUGGCCCAACCAUAAAAUUGCCUUUGAUACUGACGGUCUUGAGUUAUAGUGAAGUUGCCGGAAUAUGUAGUGUAGCGGUGAAAUGCAUAGAUAUUACAUAGAACACCGAUUGCGAAGGCAGGUGACUAACUAUAUACUGACGCUGAUGGACGAAAGCGUGGGGAGCGAACAGGAUUAGAUACCCUGGUAGUCCACGCCGUAAACGAUGGAUACUAGCUGUUCGGUCUUCGGACUGAGCGGCCAAGCGAAAGUGAUAAGUAUCCCACCUGGGGAGUACGUUCGCAAGAAUGAAACUCAAAGGAAUUGACGGGGGCCCGCACAAGCGGUGGAGCAUGUGGUUUAAUUCGAUGAUACGCGAGGAACCUUACCAGGGCUUAAAUGUAUUUUGACAGGUUUAUGACAGCUUUAGAGAUAGAGUUUUCUUCGGACAGAUCACAAGGUGCUGCAUGGUUGUCGUCAGCUCGUGCCGUGAGGUGUCAGGUUAAGUCCUAUAACGAGCGCAACCCCUGUUGUUAGUUGCCAGCACAUAAUGGUGGGGACUCUAACAAGACUGCCGGUGCAAACCGUGAGGAAGGUGGGGAUGACGUCAAAUCAUCACGGCCCUUACGUCCUGGGCUACACACGUGCUACAAUGGCCGGUACAGCGGGCAGCCACUGCGCAAGCAGGAGCGAAUCCACAAAACCGGUCACAGUUCGGAUCGGGGUCUGCAACUCGACCCCGUGAAGCUGGAAUCGCUAGUAAUCGGAUAUCAGCCAUGAUCCGGUGAAUACGUUCCCGGGCCUUGUACACACCGCCCGUCAAGCCAUGGAAGCCGGGAGUGCCUGAAGUCCGUCACCGUAAGGAGCGGCCUAGGGCAAAAUUGGUAACUAGGGCUAAGUCGGAACAAGGUAGC
rnacentral:rRNA from 1 species